AUUAAACGCUGGCGGCAUGCCUUACACAUGCAAGUCGAACGGCAGCACGGGGGCAAUCCUGGUGGCGAGUGGCGAACGGGUGAGUAAUGUAUCGGAACGUGCCCAGUCGUGGGGAUAACGCAGCGAAAGCUGUGCUAAUACCGCAUACGAUCUACGGAUGAAAGCGGGGGAUCGAAAGACCUCGCGCGACUGGAGCGGCCGAUAUCAGAUUAGCUAGUUGGUGGGGUAAAGGCUCACCAAGGCGACGAUCUGUAGCUGGUCUGAGAGGAUGAUCCGCCACACUGGGACUGAGACACGGCCCAGACUCCUACGGGAGGCAGCAGUGGGGAAUUUUGGACAAUGGGGGAAACCCUGAUCCAGCCAUGCCGCGUGAGUGAAGAAGGCCUUCGGGUUGUAAAGCUCUUUCGGCUGGGAAGAAAUCGCACAGGCUAAUACUCUGUGUGGAUGACGGUACCAGCACAAGAAGCACCGGCUAACUACGUG
rnacentral:rRNA from 1 species